rnacentral:rRNA from 1 species
UACAGAGGGUGCGAGCGUUAAUCGGAAUUACUGGGCGUAAAGCGCACGUAGGCGGCUUGGUAUGUCGGGUGUGAAAUCCCCGGGCUCAACCUGGGAACUGCAUCCGAAACUGCCUUGCUCGAGUAUGGGAGAGGGAAGUGGAAUUUCCGGUGUAGCGGUGAAAUGCGUAGAUAUCGGAAGGAACACCAGUGGCGAAAGCGGCUUCCUGGUCCAGAACCGACGUUCAGGCACGAAAGCGUGGGGAGCAAACAGG